rnacentral:rRNA from 1 species
GAACGCUGGCGGCGUGCUUAAUACAUGCAAGUCAACUUGACUUUAGAUAGCAAUAUCGAAAGUAGGGUGGCGCACGGGUGCGUAACGCGUAGGUAAUCUGCCCUGAGGUCUGACAUAACCCGUCGAAAGGCGGGCUAACAUCAGAUGAUAUAUGAUCACGACAUCGUGGAAAUAUCAAAUCUUCGGAGCCUUGGGAUGAGCCUGCGUCUGAUUAGGUAGUUGGCGGAGUAAUAGCCCACCAAGCCUACGAUCAGUAGCUGGUUUGAGAGGAUGACCAGCCACACUGGGACUGAGAUACGGCCCAGACUCCUACGGGAGGCAGCAGUAAGGAAUCUUCCACAAUGGGGCAACCCUGAUGGAGCAAUACCGCGUGCAGGAUGAAGCGUUUCGGCGUGUAAACUGCUUUUAUCACCGAAGAUUAUGACUGUAGGUGAAGAAUAAGGACCGGCUAACUACGUG